GCCGUGUCACCCCACUACAGUUUGUAAUGAAUGCUACCGUAAGACUGAUUUUCCUCUCUAGUCGGUCCUCUCAGACCUCACCCCUCUAUCAGUCCUUACAUUGGCUUCCUGAAUCCUAUAAGAGUAGAUGCAAAGUGCUAACCCAUACAUAUAAAGCACUGAACAAUUCUAGCCCCUCUUAUAUCUCUUCACAGAUUCAUAGGUAUGCCCGUCCUCGUUCUCUCCACUCUGCCCCUGACCACCUCCUGAGUGCU